rnacentral:rRNA from 1 species
UACGGAGGGUGCAAGCGUUAUCCGGAUUUACUGGGUUUAAAGGGUGCGUAGGCGGACAGGUAAGUCAGUGGUGAAAUCUCUGGGCUUAACCCAGAAACUGCCGUUGAUACUAUUUGUCUUGAAUAUCCUGGAGGUAGGCGGAAUAUGUCAUGUAGCGGUGAAAUGCUUAGAUAUGACAUAGAACACCGAUAGCGAAGGCAGCUUACUACAGGAUGAUUGACGCUGAGGCACGAAAGCGUGGGGAGCAAACAGG